GUUGAUUCUGCCAGAGGUUACUGCUAUCGAGGUUCGACUAAGCCAUGCGAGUCGAAUGUAGCAAUACAUGGCGUACUGCUCAGUAACACGUGGACAACCUACCCUUAGGACGGGGAUAAACCCGGGAAACUGGGUAUAAUACCCGAUAGUCCUCGACUGCUGGAAUGCAUCGAGAACUAAAGCUCCGGCGCCUAAGGAUGGGUCUGCGGCCUAUCAGGUAGUAGUGGGUGUAGUGUACCUACUAGCCUACGACGGGUACGGGUUGUGAGAGCAAGAGCCCGGAGAUGGAUUCUGAGACACGAAUCCAGGCCCUACGGGGUGCAGCAGGCGCGAAAACUUUACAAUGCUGGAAACAGCGAUAAGGGGACCUCGAGUGCCAGGUUACAAAUCUGGCUGUCGUGAUGCCUAAAACGCAUUGCAUAGCAAGGGCCGGGCAAGACCGGUGCCAGCCGCCGCGGUAACACCGGCGGCUCGAGUGGUAACCGUUAUUGUUGGGUCUAAAGGGUCUGUAGCCGGCCGGAUAAGUCUCUUGGGAAAUCUGGCGGCUUAACUGUCAGGCUUUCAGGAGAUACUGUCUGGCUCGAGGCCGGGAGAGGUGAGAGGUACUUCAGGGGUAGGGGUGAAAUCUUGUAAUCCUUGAAGGACCACCAGUGGCGAAGGCGUCUCACCAGAACGGACCUGACGGCAAGGGACGAAAGCUAGGGGCACGAACCGGAUUAGAUACCCGGGUAGUCCUAGCCGUAAACGAUACUCGCUAGGUGUCGGCCACGGUGCGACCGUUGUCGGUGCCGUAGGGAAGCCGUGAAGCGAGCCACCUGGGAAGUACGGCCGCAAGGCUGAAACUUAAAGGAAUUGGCGGGGGAGCACCACAACGG
rnacentral:rRNA from 1 species